AAACUUAAUAGUUAAAACUUUCAACAACGGAUCUCUUGGUUCUGGCAUCGAUGAAGAACGCAGCGAAAUGCGAUAAGUAAUGUGAAUUGCAGAAUUCAGUGAAUCAUCGAAUCUUUGAACGCACAUUGCGCCCCCUGGUAUUCCGGGGGGCAUGCCUGUUCG
rnacentral:rRNA from 2 species